rnacentral:tRNA from 1 species
GGAGUUGUGGCUCAGUGGUAGAGCGUUUGCCUUGCAUGUGAGAAAUCCUGGGUUUGAUCCUCAGUACCA